UGUGUGGGGGGAAAGCAGAAGUAUCCACUGUUGGUCCCCAUACUUCAUUGCAGGACCUCGACGAUUUUGAUGAUGACGCUUUUGAGGGGAUUGAUAGGCUUUGUGGAAGGAGGACGCUCGCGAUGGAGGUUCUGGUUCAUGUCAACGUAUCUCCGGAAGCUCAAUGUGUCCCAAAGGGAUGCAGCGGUGAGCGACAUUCUUCUGACUGUUGCCGGGCUGGGAAGUGGAAAGACCUCUACAAUGGUCGCAUGUAUUCUGACAGAACAAUCUUUGUCGAGCCUAGUGACUGCUGUAUUGAAUAUGCUACCUCAGAGACGCGAUUUUGAAGCUCGUGCAGUCGUGGAUGAAUCGGGGGGAAAACUCUUGAACUAGGAUGAAGAUUGUUGGACUGUGUUGGACUAUCUUUUGGAUGAUGUGAAUUUCUGUGUAAGCACCUUAGGAUCCAAGAGGAAGUGAAAGAAAAUUCUCGACCGCCGGGAUGCUCAGUGCUUCUGAGAGCUUUCUUAGAACAUAUAACUGUUGGAGAGACCGAGAACUUUCGACGGCCGAGAAGAAAUCAUAAUUCAGUAACGUUGACAACGAUGCAUCAGUCGAAGGGACUGGAGUGGGAGAGCGUCUUCAUUGGAACGUAAGAUUGGCCUCGUCUUGCUAGCUUUGCUUUCACCUUUUUAGAACGGCUCCAAUUGUUUAACAUAGAACAUACUUAACACAGCUGCCGGAGUAUUAUGGUCAA